rnacentral:tRNA from 1 species
GCCUCCUUAGCUCAGUUGGUGGAGCAUGCGGCUGUUAACCGCAGGGUCAUUGGUUCAAGUCCAGUAGGAGGCG